GAAGAAAGACGGCUUAGGAUUGAGAAGAAAGUCAGAGCCUUGGUGUCAGGCUGACCACUCUUUAAAUACUGGUUCUUCCACUUAUGAACACUCCCUGGCUCUGCUUUCCCAUCUCUAAAAUGAUCACCGCUGGUCCCUGCUGUGUGCUUAUUCCAUGGUCUGCUCUGGGAUGGAGAUGGCGGAGGACACAGAAGAUGGAGAAAAUGUGCCUGUGGCUACAAAGGUAAAGAUGCACUGAAAAACUGGCCAUCUGCAAACCAGGAAGAGAGCUCUCAUCAGACAUCAAAUCUGCUUGCAUUCUGACCUUGGACUUCGUAGCCUCCAGAACUGUGUGGAGGAAUGUUUAUUGCUUAAGCUCCUCAGUCAAUGGUAUUGUGAUAGCAGCCUGACCUGACGGAGACACUACAGUUAAGUAUAGCUCUGGAAACCACACAAGUUGUGAUGGGCUAAAAGGUGCCACAGUCAAACUGCCCUGGAAGCAAAGUUGAAGGGAAAUUAUUUCAAUUGUGGGACUCUAGGAAAAUUUCCUAGAGAAGGUGAUAAUAGAAGGUGAUCAUGACUUUAAAAUUCCAAAGAAGGUAUACAUAAAAGAGCAUAAAUGCGGAUUAAGAAGGAUGGAGACAGAGGCAGUGUUCCAUGUUCCCUAUCCCCGAAAAGGGGUCAAGGGGGAUGUCAGAGUUGGUGGUUAGUAGGAUUCAGAGGGAAAUGAGGCUAGA